UACGGGGGGGGCAAGCGUUGUUCGGAAUUACUGGGCGUAAAGGGCUCGUAGGUGGCCAACUAAGUCAGACGUGAAAUCCCUCGGCUUAACCGGGGAACUGCGUCUGAUACUGGAUGGCUGGAGUUUGGGAGAGGGAUGCGGAAUUCCAGGUGUAGCGGUGAAAUGCGUAGAUAUCUGGAGGAACACCGGUGGCGAAGGCGGCAUCCUGGACCGGGAUUGACACUGAGGCGCGAAAGCCAGGGGAGCAAACGGG
rnacentral:rRNA from 1 species